GGGGCUAUAGCUCAGCUGGGAGAGCGCCUGCCUUGCACGCAGGAGGUCAGCGGUUCGAUCCCGAUUAGCUCCA
rnacentral:tRNA from 1 species